rnacentral:rRNA from 1 species
UACGUAGGUGGCAAGCGUUGUCCGGAAUUAUUGGGCGUAAAGCGCGCGCAGGUGGUUUCUUAAGUCUGAUGUGAAAGCCCACGGCUCAACCGUGGAGGGUCAUUGGAAACUGGGGAACUUGAGUGCAGAAGAGGAAAGUGGAAUUCCAAGUGUAGCGGUGAAAUGCGUAGAUAUCUGGAGGAACACCGGUGGCGAAGGCGGCGUUCUGGACUGCAACUGACACUGAGGAACGAAAGCCAGGGGAGCAAACGGG